AUGACCCUUUGCAGCUCUAGACAAACCAAAACAACAAAGAGCACACCCAGAACCCCAUCUCCAUUUUCUUGAUGUUUCGUCCACUUUCUUAGCAAUCCUAGUAACAAAACAAUAAAAACACACAAGAAAGGGUAGAGAGAGAGAGAGAGAGAGAGAGAGAGGUGUUACCGGAAUGCUGUCGAGAGUCAUUGUGCCUGAGAGCUUGAGGCUUGAAUAGAAAAGGUAGCGAAUUCAAAUCCUCUAAUCUCUUCACCUUCUUAGGUAUCCGAAUAACAAGAUCAAAGCGUGCAUUAACUGAAAUUUUUUGACGUGAUAUGUGCAGGCCUUCUACAAUCUACUACAAAUAAAUGUUUGGGGCUCUUUCUGCAAGGCUGACAUGAGGGAUUCUAGGGCGGACAGCUUUCACGAGCUCGAGACCACCCACUCGGAGUACUUCCCACCUCCCAGGAGAAAGAGAGAGCAAACAGGAGUUUUAAUUAAGGCGGUGAGAGAGAAAAAACUGCCGGAAAAAUCUAACGCACCGUUUAAGAUAAAUUAGGGACAUAAAAGACAAAUUGAGAGGGAUAAAAUUGUCAGAUAAAAAUCAGACAUUGAGGCUUUUAUCUCAACUUUCCUGACAAUUGUAAAUCCCUCUCAACUUUCCUCACAAAACCACUCUCCUUCUUUUGAACUAAGAAUCGCAAAACAUCCCAUUGACGAUUUUGAAAACCCCAAUUGCAGAAUAUGUUUUUGACGGUGACGCAGGUUCUUCUUCUUCUUCUUAGAUGUGAUUUUCCCCAUCUCAAUCUUGCGACCCUUUAUCUCAGUCCCGCAAUGGUAUGAGACCAUACACGAAACUACGUCCAAAGAUCUAUGAGAGAGAGAGAGGCGAAAUGCAAAUUUUUGAAUGGUCCGGCUGUAAUGUUACUUCUCAAGUUGUAACCUUUGUAAUGACCUUUGUAAAUUAACCUUUGUAAUGGAAAGUUGUGUAAUGAAAACAGCUUAGCAAUUGGUUUGGAUUAAACAAUGAUAUAAUGAAAAGUUGUAUAAAUUAACA